CGAUGGCAUGCAAAUGUUAGGAGCUAUAAAACUUUUGGGAAUAGCUUUUGUCAGCAGAGUCUUCCUUUCGGGAGUUUGUAAUUGAGAUACUAUAAUAUGGUUAUUGCAUACCGAAUAACAGUAGUAUGAGCUAAUUUAGACAAUGCUAGAUUAUUCACAACGUCCAUCCAGUGUUGAAACAUAAUCGCACCAUGAGGAAACAUGUGGAACCUCACAUCCGGAUUCCCAUUACGAUUUUCGCACUACAAAAAUGCACACUUUUUAUAAUAAAGUCAAGGCAUGAUCUGAAGCAAUAGAUAAAUAAGGCAGUGGUAUCUUUUCCCCUAGUUAUCUAUAUUUUUUAGCACAACUUUUAGUAUGAACAACAAACUAUGAAACAAUCACAAGAUCACUAGCAAAAUCGAGUCCAACACGUGUUCUGCAAGCAGUAAGAUGCAACGCAGCAAAGUUUUUGUUAUACGGCAACUGCUGAUCAUACAUAAAGACGUGCUGCUGAUUACAGUGAUGAUUAACGACAGCCACAGUUGUCUUCAUCUAUGGACAGCCACAUGGCGAGUUUAAUUUUUCUUCCCGCCAACAACGCGCCUCUUGCAUUUGUUUACGGAACUAAUUUUGUGGUCAAGGCUAUCCCAUUGAAUUGUCAUGGGGGUGAAAAGCGCUCUUGCCUUGUCUAUCCCCACUACUCGUGUUGUUUCUUUAUGAUUUCCUACCUGUUCCCACAGAACAUACCCCCAGGGGGGAUAUUUUGUGCCUGUUCCUAACCUAAGUUGCUUAUUAUUUGUUGCUAUUAGUGUCAUAGAACAAGGAUCAGUGUGUGUUUUAUCUUUAAUUUGUUUUGAUUCAAAUAGUGUUCAGUGUAUAUGCGAGUGUUAGGGAGAACGAUCAUAAAACAUUGAUUCCCGCAUCUACGAAUGCAAAUAAGAUGCCCCCAACGUUAACAGCAACUAAACAAACCACUCAAAACGGGGAAUUAUCGUCUAAAGAAGCGGGGAGCCCAAAAGAAGCCAGUGGUUCCCGCACUAAAAGCUCCCCACCUCGUAUCAGUUUACGAAUAUUAACCCGGAAAACAAAAAACAAUCAAACCAGCCCAAAUGGGCAAACUAAUGCAAGAGGAAGUCAAGUGAAGAAGUCACCUAAAGCAAGCAGCAUCUCAAAUAGCGAUAAUAAGGGGCGAAGCCCCACAUCAGCCAGAGCCUCCCGUAAAAGCGCAGCUGCUCCCAAGAAGAGUAAAAGCAAUGCAGCCAAGGACUGUGCCCCAUCUAGUAAAACCCUGAAAACACCCAAGAAAUCUUCAGAUUUGGAUCUGUUGUCACCUCUUGAAUCUAAGCGCCCCAGAAAAACCAGUGAAAAGGCCGCUAAAAGCGCUCCAAAUCGUACUAGCCCACGAAGAAUAACCGGCAAAUCGCAAGACGAUCAAACCAGCCCAAAUGGGGCCACUUUAAGCAUUAGUGGCAGGAAUGCAGGAGGAAUUGAAGGGAAAAGUUCCCCGAAAGCAAGCAGCAGCUCGAAAGGGGAUAAUAAGGUGCGAAGCUCCACCUCUACCAGAGUCUCCCCUAAAAGCGCAGCUGCGAAACGAAAAUUUAAUCCAGCCAAGGACUGUGCCCCAUCAAGUAAAAAAGUGAAAAUACGUAGGAAAAAGGAAAAGGCGCAAGUAAACAAUUCGAAAUCUAAAGGCGAACUGAAUAAUGAAGAUAUAGAAGAGCGGCUGUUGGCGUCCCCAAAGCGCAACACCGACCAGUCGGAAGCCUUUAAGAGGUAUGGCGUAAUAGUGCCCUCGAUUGAAGAAAUGUUGGCUGAGAAGAACAACCUGGUGAGCUACAGGCAGCAUGUGGAAGAAGCGCAAAAGAUCGAUGAGCCCACUUUUGUCUGGCCCAGUUUACCUAAGCGAGAGCAAUUUUGCGAGCCGAUGCUGGACUGCAAGAGUCUAACUUUAGAUGAGCUCACUGAGCAGUUUAAUCUCAAUGUGAGUUUCCUGGCUGGAAUCAGUGGGGGAAAAACAUAUUCGGAUAGACAUCAGCGUUACCACAACUCCAACCAGUGGCAGCACAAAUUCACCCUCAGGGACUUAACGUAUAAUACCAGCACUAUAGUGUUCAGUUUCGAGCAAGUGGAUCAUUUGGCCACUUUGAUAGACGGUGGAUUUCCCGACCAAUCCAAGUAUGUGUUCCAAGUGCUGCUGCCUGAACUGUGCCUGAAGAUUUUCAUGAACCAGCACGACAUGAGCAAGCUGCAAGCCAAGAAGUACUUAGACAUGCGACCAGUUGAAUGAGCAAAUUUACUUUAUGAAAUAUACAAGUUUUUGUUUAAUACAGAUCUGUUAUUGCUAAGCAAGCGCGUCUGUAUCUCUUAUCGUUGUCGGGUGAGAUAAGACGGUUGUUUUCUUGUUGAUUGAAGGCGAAAUGUGAAGCAACAACAGUCUUUGGCCGAUCGCGUUUUGUGUUGAAGCUGCCAGGAAAGUUAGAUGGUUCCUUUGGGGAAACUGUUGCUGCAGGUUCCUUCUCGAAGUGUGCGCAGUCUGAUUUUCAGAGCCAUGUCGGCGAACUCCGGCGAAUUGUUGAUUAACAGUCCCAAGUACGCAUUUUUGAAGGAGUUGGGAUUGAGCGAGACGAAUCUGGGGGUGUUUGAUGGGGAGUGGAGGGCAAACGGCCAGACAAUCCAGUCAAUAUGCCCCAGCAACGGGUUGGCAAUCGCCCAAGUGAAACAGGCCUCUCCAUCCGACUAUGAACACGCCAUUCAAGCGUCUGAGGCUGCGUGGACGGUUUGGGCCGACCUGCCUGCCCCUAAACGAGGAGAAAUCGUCAGGCAGAUAG
rnacentral:misc_RNA from 1 species